UAGACCGCGGCCUGGGAGAGAUUUACAGUACUAUAGCAGGGAAGAAGACAGUGCAGAGAGAGAGGGGCAGUUUCCCCUGAUAGAGCUGCCCAACCCCCAAGCUGGGAUAGAGAAUAACAAACCCACGGUUCGGGUCUAUCGACCCUGGACACAGAGAGACGUAGAAAUGGCAGUAGAAGGAAUUCCACACCCAAAAACAGGAAUGGCAGGUUUUGAAAGAGAUCUCAACGGACUAGCGUCCAGUUUCAGGCUAAACACAGGGGAGGUGGAAAGAGCAGUUAGAACCAUAGUGGGAAAGGAUUGGUUUGCUGCGCACGGAGCCUGGGUGCCAACAGGGAAUAAUGGGGACAUCAUACAGUGGAGCGCCGGACUUGGGGAGCCAUUUAGAGCGAAAAUUACAGAACUAUGCCCGAACCUAACUGAACAUUACCACCGACACGCCGACUUCUCUAAGUUUUAUGCCCAGCAGGAGAACUACGGAGGGAGGUGGCACACGAGAUUCAACCAGGAGACUGGAUCUGGGUCCAAUCGCUAAAGAGAAAAAACUGGAAACAGCCUCGGUGGGAGGGACCAUUCCAAGUACUACUGGUGACUGCCUUCGCUGUGAGAUUAGCCGAAAGAGCUACCUGGGUACAUAUCACACAUUGUAAGAGGGUAAGUCACACUAGCACUGUCGGACGAUCACAGGAGUAGGAGAGGAACCGUGACCCAUAUGGAACGGGGGUCAAACUCCUUCUGAAGAUUCCCUAUACCCGACCUUUCCCCAGCUGUGAGCGUUCAUAGAAGUGAAGUGAUGGCUUGGCCUCUGGCUGUUGAUAUGUUCUCGGGGAGAGGGUGGGGCUUCACGUGAGCACUGACCAUCCUGAGCUGUUUUAUUGUGGGGGCCAUAUUCCUGAUUCACCAUGAUCACCCGGAAAGUGCCAAAGAGGAUAAUUUGACUCAUGUGCUAGAUGAGGGAAAUGGGAUGUUACCUAAGAUUCUCAGAAGGUCACUGAAACAAAAUAGUAAGGAAGUGAGGGUGGAAUUGGGCAAGGAUCUCUCAGUAGAAUUUUGUGUAGAUCAAUUGGGGUCAUUCACCCCUUGGCAGUUUAGAACCAUGGGACUCUAUGGGAAGUAUUUGUGUAAAUCACCAUAUUGAUCGUGGACAGGUCAUAGCUCACACUGAAAGGGAUGGCUACGUAAACCCAUACACUCAAUUUGGGACCAGGUGGAGUAUAGUAAGGGUUGGCGUUUUGGACUGUGUUCCUGAACAGAGGAAGUAUUGUAUAAAGGUACGAAUAGUUCAGACCAAAGACCUCAAAGAAGUUAUAGAAGUGGAGACUGGGUUUGGGGAGUCCAACUUAUGGUUGGAAUGGAUUCAAUACGGCCAGAUCAGUGGCUAAAGAAGAAUGUUAUGUCUGUGCGAACGCUAAACCCCAGUUAACAACUAUCCCUUUUCCACUGAACGGAAUUAAUUCCUCUAAGGGAAUGGCAUGUAUGGUAAAGCUGUUCAUGAAAGCAGGAAUGCCAGAUAAUGACAGUUGUCACUAUUUAUAUCCCCAGGAACCAAGUUGGUACAGAGAAAAUGACCACUGACGAGACCAUGUCUGAAUUGACAGGCUGGUUGAACUCUGGGGAUUUCAAUGAAAUAAAAUGGGCCAGUGUCGCCAUCUGGUGGGUGUGCGGGGGAAUGAGUUUGACUGAUUGGACGGGUUAGGAAUGCCUUUUACACUCAUACAACACCAAGACAUGAAGUUAGCCAAAACGAGAGAGAAGAGAUGCUCCAUCUGGGUCUUUUGACGACAGAGUAUAUAUUGAUAACAUUGGGGUUCCACGAGGUGUGUAAUUAUAGUUAUGGUAAUCAACAGCGCUUUAGCAGGAAUACCAAAGGUGUUAUUAAAGGUUUUGUAGAACAGACUGAAGCAACCAGCUGGAAGACCUGACAGAAUAGAAUUGCAUAGGAUAAAAGGAGGAAGUGGGCGUGGUAAUCAGGACCAUGUCUUACAUCCCGGGUAGCACAGCUCCGGACGAAUCGGUGCCCGAAGCCUCAGCUGGUUUGACCACCCUGGCUCACGGGUUGGCAGAAACUCUGGGGUGGAUACUUCUCUGAACUAAAUUGGGUAGACAGUAUUUAUGGAAAAUGUGGUGUUUUGGGCUGUAUCUACCUGUAUGACUGUUUUAAUUUUAUGCGGCUGUUGUCUAAUUCCCUGUGUGCGAGGCCUUGUUUCCAGGACUCUGGAAAGAUCAAUGACCCUACAGAUGGUGCGUUAUGGGCCGAUUCCAGAUUCUGACCUGUGGAGGACAGAAGGCAUGUCUACAGAGGAAGUGGACGAAUCCGGAUCUGUCAUUUGUGGGGAAUUUAUGUUUGAUGAGGCUAGUGUUGAGAUAAAGGGGAAUUAGAUUGUAAUUGGUUUCCAUGAUUAAACUGUUUUUUUAAUGAAGGUCGUGACGAAAAUCCGGGAGGAAGAGUUAUGAUUCUGAUGUAGGUUUAAAAACAGUUGGAGUUAAGGUUAGAAUUGAUUAAUAACAUGUGGAGAGUUGGAUAAACAUUUAUAAUUGAUUUGUUGAUUAUUUGUCUAUUCAUAUGAUAAUCUGAUAAACCUCUAUAAAAAGGUUAGUUAAGUUCGUUUAUUCUUUCAUUUUUUAUGAUUAAAUAAGACUAGAUGUAGAAUUGAAUGUAUAAUAUUUGAUCAAAGGGAGGAUUGUUAGAGGAAAAUAUAGUUUAGAUGAUCAAUUGUAUACAUUAAUGAUUAGAACCAUUUAUGCUAAUACUAUUAUGUUAUGAUUUGAAAAGUAUGGGUUCUUAAUUGUACUGUUACUGAAAAUGUAAGCAGAAAUGAAUUGUGUCUGUGUCUCCUGGGAAAGUUUAAGAAGGAGGGAUAAGAUAGUUUUUCAAACAGAUAAGAAUGUUUUGGUUGGAUUCCAUUAGGGGAGAUAAGUUAUCCUUUAGACAGGUUGGAAUGUAGUUUAUGAGGGGAGUGAAACUAUCUCCAGGACCGAAUACUACGCCAUUAUAAGGCUGGGAGAGGGUGUGAAACUGAUGACGUCAUUUUAUGUCUUCUUUCUUUAAAAUGUAAUGUUCUUUGUAUUUUGGGUCAGUACUCACUUGAAUUAAACGCUAUUUACCUGGC